AACUGAAAUUUUACAACUUGUGUCUGCAAAGUCAUCUCCUGACAGGAAAAAGAAACUAUGAGCUCAAGCAAAAUUGUCCAAAAACUUCAGAGUACAGAUUUGGUUCCUCUACUCUCACCAGCAAAACAGCACUGGCUUCUAGAAGACAUUGGCCAGGCCAUUUUCCAUUCUAAUAUGACUGGAUAAAUGCAAAAUGUCUCUUUCAUCAUGAUGUAAAGGAUGCAAUAAAACUAAUUUUGACUUCAGGCUCUAUAAAGUAAAGCUGGUGCAUUCAU
rnacentral:lncRNA from 1 species